CCUACGGGGGGCAGCAGUGAGGAAUAUUGGUCAAUGGGCGAGAGUCUGAACCAGCCAAGUAGCGUGAAGGAUGACUGCCCUAUGGGUUGUAAACUUCUUUUAUAUGGGAAUAAAAUGUUCCACGCGUGGGAUUUUGUAUGUACCAUACGAAUAAGGAUCGGCUAACUCCGUGCCAGCAGCCGCGGUAAUACGGAGGGUGCGAGCGUUAAUCGGAAUUACUGGGCGUAAAGCGCUCGUAGGCGGUAUGUGAAGUCAAGGGUGAAACCUCCGGGCUCAACGUGGGAACUGCCGUUGAAACUGGCAGACUUGAGUGUGUGAGAGGAUAGUGGAAUUCGAGGUGUAGGAGUGAAAUCCGUAGAUAUCUCGAGGAACAUCAGUGGCGAAGGCGGCUAUCUGGCACAUAACUGACGCUGAGGAGCGAAAGCGUGGGUAGCAAACAGGAUUAGAUACCCCUGUAGUC
rnacentral:rRNA from 1 species